rnacentral:tRNA from 1 species
ACACCUAAAUUUUAGCCAGCAGAUUUCAUUUAUAUUGACAAUGUGGCAGAAUAAUGCAUCA